UUAUUUUUAAUAAAAAUUUUGUAAUUUUAAAACUUUUAUAAUUUUUAUGAUUUUUAAUUUUUAAAAGAGCUUAACUGCUUUUUUUUUUUUUAAAUUGUUACUAAGGCCUUUUUUACCCUUUAGCCUUAUUAGUUUCUAAAUUUUCUAAUUUAGUUCCAAUAAAAGAGUAGGGGCCAAAUUGAAUAAACAUGUAAAGGUUGAG
rnacentral:lncRNA from 1 species